GGAAGGAUCAUUACCGUGAUUCACUUCUCAAGUGAAAAAAAAGGAAAGGCAUGAGUUGGGUUGUGAUUAAAAAGUUUACUGAAAUCACCCCUCUCAUCAUUUAUCAGAUCGAUGUUAAGUUGUGGAUUCACCCUUAUAUAAAGGAACCUUUUCGUAAGGAUCUGUGGGAGUAACUACUUCUUUGCUCUCUGAUGAAUACCCCAUGUACCAUUGUCGUCAUGGGUUUGGUUGAAAAAAAUCAAAGUACUGUAGUGGCAAGUUAAACAGAGUUUUGAGAAUAUAUGAAUUACUCUGUUGCUACUAUGGGAAAUGCAUUUGAAAGGAAAUUACAAAAAGUGUAUAUUGAAAUACUAUAACAAAAACUUAAAAAAAAAUCAACCUCGAGUGGUGGAUCACUCGGCUCGUGGGUCGAUGAAGAACGCAGCUAACUGCGUGCAGACGUGUGAACUGCAGGACACAUGAACACCGACAUUUCGAACGCAAAUGGCGGCUUAAAAUAACUUUUAAGCCACGUCUGGCUGAGGGUCGAAUAUGAAAUAAACAAUAAAAGAUAGUCUGAAAAUUGUUGUAAUGUUUCAAUGACUAUUACAUCGCCAAGUCCUAAAAAAGCUUGGUUAGAGUACAGGCAAUGUAAUUUCUAUUUACAAUGAGUCAUCGGGUUUGCUUGAUACGUUGCACGUAAAACUGCUUUCAGGUAUUUCCCCCAGCCUAUGUUUAAAGUUCUGCCCUUAGGCGGAAGUAGGUUGUUAUGAUGAGUACUGUUGUAGAUUUAACAAUUGCCUUUAUAUGAUUUGGUUUGCUGGGAGCAUUCAAAUCAAACUAAAGAAAAAUCAUACUUGCGACCUCAGAGUAGGCGAGACUACCCGCUUAAUUUAAGCAUAUUAAUAAGCGGAGGAAAAGAAACUAACAAGGAUUCCCUUAGUAACGGCGAGCGAAAAGGGAAAAGCCCAGCGCUGAAUCUUACGUCCCACGGGCGUAAUGACAUGUAGCGUUUGGGACGAGACAUUGCUUGUACUAAAUUGAUCAUCCAAGUCCUUCUUGAACGGGGCCAUAGCCCAUGGAGGGUGCUAGGCCCGUACGAUGAUUAUUGUUGUACGAUGCGUUUCGUCCGUAGAGUCGGGUUGCUUGGGAGUGCAGCCCAAAUCAGGUGGUAAACUCCAUCUAAGGCUAAAUAUGACCACGAGACCGAUAGCGAACAAGUACCGUGAGGGAAAGUUGAAAAGAACUUUGAAGAGAGAGUUCAAUAGUACGUGAAACCUCUCGGGGGUAAGCGGGCAGAACUUGCAAGUAUUGGCAAGAGAUUCAGACUUGGAUUUUGAUGGUUGAGUACUUUUGUUAAGUUGUUCAUUCGUGGACUGACUGAUGUUUGUGCUCUAUUCCAUUAAAUAUGUGUCGCAUUUCUCUUUGUCAUUCGGGUUGCAUGCAACUGAUUUUGGUAAUUUAGGUACUGAGAGUCUGUGCGUCGUUCAUUUAUGAAUGAUUCAAGUCUUGGUUUUCCAAUUACUACUGCGGUUGUACAAAAUAGCGAACAAGCGUUUGACGCGGUCAAUUAUUCUUACGAGUCGUGUAUGUAGAGUGUAUGGACGAGUAAUCGUAGUAUACUUUAUGUACUGGUUGUCAGUGAGAGUAACUUUGGCUUUGUUCAGUAUUGCAAUCUAAAGCAUGCGUGGUCUGCCUGUCCCGUCUUGAAACACGGACCAAGGAGUCUAACAUGUAUGCGAGUCAUUGGGAAAUACUAAACCCAAAGGCAUAAUGAAAGUAAAGAUCCAAUUUUAUGGAUAUGAGGAGAGAUCAUGGCUUUGUUCUUGAUAUUCUGAAAAGUUUAUUGAGUAAAGUAUGCGCAUCUCCUGGAUGUCUUAACCUCUGAAGGUAGGGCAUACCUAGAGCAUACACGUUGGGACCCGAAAGAUGGUGAACUAUGCCUGGUCAGAACGAAGUCAGGGGAAACCCUGAUGGAGGUUCGUAGCGAUUCUGACGUGCAAAUCGAUCGUCGGAACUGGGUAUAGGGGCGAAAGACUAAUCGAACCAUCUAGUAGCUGGUUCCCUC
rnacentral:misc_RNA from 1 species